rnacentral:rRNA from 1 species
GAUGAACGCUGGCGGCGUGCCUAAUACAUGCAAGUCGAGCGAACAGACGAGGAGCUUGCUCCUCUGACGUUAGCGGCGGACGGGUGAGUAACACGUGGAUAACCUACCUAUAAGACUGGGAUAACUUCGGGAAACCGGAGCUAAUACCGGAUAAUAUAUUGAACCGCAUGGUUCAAUAGUGAAAGACGGUUUUGCUGUCACUUAUAGAUGGAUCCGCGCCGCAUUAGCUAGUUGGUAAGGUAACGGCUUACCAAGGCAACGAUGCGUAGCCGACCUGAGAGGGGGAGCGGCCACCAGGGAACAGGACACCGCACCAGCCGCCAACGGGAGGAAGCAGAAGGGAAUCUGCGGAAAUGGGCAAAGGCCUGAAGGAGCACAGCGUCGGGAGUAAAGAAGUGUUUAGGUUCUAAAAACCGUUUUAUGGGGAAAGAACAAAUGUGAAAGGAAUUAGGCAGGUCUAGCCGUAACCUAAUAAGAAGGCCCGGGCAAACUCCGUG